UUUACUUUGGGUCCUUUCAAAUCCAGGUCAACAUCAGGUAUGGAGAUCUUGGGAGCUUUGAUAUUUAUUUCAGGCAUCUUGAACUUGGGGCCCUUUAGUUUCGCAUCUGGACCUUCGAUAUUCACAUCAGGAACAUCAACGUCCACUUUGGGUCCUGAGACAUCAAUGUCAGCCUUGGGCAGGUUCACAUCCACAUCUGGGCCCUCUCCUUUGAAGCCAGGCAUGCUGAACUUGGGCAUUUUCACCUUGGGCAUCUUCAGGUGCCAGUCUGGGCCUUGAACAUCAACAUCUGGAGCAUUAAUGUCCACUUUGGGGCCCUUGAUGUCAACUUCAGGACCCUUGAGGUCACCUUCCAUUUUGGGCAGAGAAACAUCCACAUCGCCCUUGACUUUGGGGCCCUUCAGGGCCCUUGAGGUCACCUUCCACUUUGGGCAGAGAAAUAUCCACAUCGCCCUUCACCUUGGGACCUUUCAGAUGCAAAUCAAAGUCAGGCAUGGGGAUCU
rnacentral:lncRNA from 1 species